rnacentral:rRNA from 1 species
AUAACGGUCCUAAGGUAGCGAAAUUCCUUGUCGGGUAAGUUCCGACCCGCACGAAAGGCGUAAUGAUUUGAGCGCUGUCUCGACAAUGCAUCCGGUGAAAUUGAAGUACCAGUGAAGAUGCUGGUUACCUGCGCCAGGACGGAAAGACCCCAUGGAGCUUUACUCCAGUCUGGUACUGGGACUCGGUAUUGCAUGUACAGGAUAGGUGGGAGGCUAGGAGAUGGUAACGCCAGUUGCCAUGGAGCCGCUGUUGGGAUACCACCCUUGCAGUAUUGGGUUUCUAACCAGCCGCCGUGACCCGGCGGUGGGACAAUGCCAGACGGGGAGUUUGACUGGGGCGGUCGCCUCCGAAAGGGUAUCGGAGGCGCCCAAAGGUUCCCUCAGAAUGGACGGAAACCAUUCGAAGAGUGCAAAGGCAGAAGGGAGCUUGACUGCGACACCGACGGGUGGAGCAGGUACGAAAGUAGGGCUUAGUGAUCCGGUGGUAUUAAGUGGGAAUGCCAUCGCUCAACGGAUAAAAGCUACCCUGGGGAUAACAGGCUUAUCACUCCCAAGAGUUCACAUCGACGGAGUGGUUUGGCACCUCGAUGUCGGCUCAUCGCAUCCUGGGGCUGUAGUAGGUCCCAAGGGUUGGGCUGUUCGCCCAUUAAAGCGGUACGCGAGCUGGGUUCAGAACGUCGUGAGACAGUUCGGUCCCUAUCCGGCGUGGGCGUAGGAUAUCUGAGAGGAGCUGUCCUUAGUACGAGAGGACCGGGAUGGACGGGCCGCUGGUGCAUCGGUUAGACUGCCAAGUCUACGGCCGAGUAGCCAAGCCCGGAAGGGAUAAACGCUGAAGGCAUCUAAGCGUGAAGCCCCCCUUAAGAUGAGAUAUCCCAUUCGUUAAGAAGUAAACCCCCUUGAAGACGACGAGGUAGAUAGGGCAGAGGUGGAAGUGCAGUAAUGCAUGGAGCUGACUGUUACUAAUCGGGUGAGGGCUUGACCAA